rnacentral:tRNA from 1 species
GAAGUGGCGGAAUCGGCAGACGCAUCGGACUUAAAAUCCGGUGGUGGCAACACCGUGUGGGUUCAAGUCCCAUCUUCCCC